UACGUAGGGGGCAAGCGUUGUCCGGAAUCAUUGGGCGUAAAGCGCGUGUAGGCGGCCCGGUAAGUCCGCUGUGAAAGUCGGGGGCUCAACCCUCGAAUGCCGGUGGAUACUGUCGGGCUAGAGUGCGGGAGAGGCGAGUGGAAUUCCUGGUGUAGCGGUGAAAUGCGCAGAUAUCAGGAGGAACACCAAUUGCGAAGGCAGCUCGCUGGAACGUAACUGACGCUGAGGCGCGAAAGCGUGGGGAGCAAACGGG
rnacentral:rRNA from 1 species